UGGGGAAUUUUGGACAAUGGGGGAAACCCUGAUCCAGCCAUCCCGCGUGUGCGAUGAAGGCCUUCGGGUUGUAAAGCACUUUUGGCAGGAAAGAAACGUCAUGGGUUAAUACCCCGUGAAACUGACGGUACCUGCAGAAUAAGCACCGGCUAACUACGUGCCAGCAGCCGCGGUAAUACGUAGGGUGCAAGCGUUAAUCGGAAUUACUGGGCGUAAAGCGUGCGCAGGCGGUUCGGAAAGAAAGAUGUGGAAUCCCAGAGCUCAACUUUGGAACUGCAUUUUUAACUACCGGGCUAGAGUGUGUCAGAGGGAGGUGGAAUUCCGCGUGUAGCAGUGAAAUGCGUAGAUAUGCGGAGGAACACCGAUGGCGAAGGCAGCCUCCUGGGAUAACACUGACGCUCAUGCACGAAAGCGUGGGGAGCAAACAGG
rnacentral:rRNA from 1 species